rnacentral:misc_RNA from 1 species
GAAAUGCGAUACGUAAUGUGAAAUGCAGAAUACCGCGAAUCAUCAAAACCUUGAACGCAAAUUGCGCUCCAGGGAAAUCCCUGGAGCACACCUGUCCGAGUGUCAUUUCAAAAAAAUCACCCGAAAGGGUCCUGCCCCUGGGUGGAGUCUGAGCGUUGGGGACCCAGAGGGGCCGCCCAUCGCUUCAAGUGCAAGGGAACACCGACGCCAGAGCGCGAGGACCCGGUCGAUUUCAGAGUGCCCCUUGGGUAUCCAGAUCAACCGCCCUCUCCGCCUGGCCCAGGGAGGCCCAUGGAGGGGGGACAUCAACUCGUCCCCGCGAUUCAUACCUGUGACCUCGGAUCAGAUGAGGACACCCGCUGAACUUAA